UACGUAGGUGGCAAGCGUUGUCCGGAUUUACUGGGCGUAAAGAGCGCGCAGGCGGUCGUUUAAGUCGAAUGUGAAAGCCCCCCGGCUCAACUGGGGAGGGUCAUUCGAUACUGAUCGACUUGAAGGCAGGAGAGAGAAGUGGAAUUCCUGGUGUAGCGGUGGAAUGCGCAGAUAUCAGGAGGAACACCGGUGGCGAAGGCGGAUCUCUGGGCCAUAACUGACGCUGAGGAGCGAAAAGCAUGGGGGAGCGAACAGG
rnacentral:rRNA from 1 species